UUUGAAUUAUUGCACUAAAAGGGCCUUUUCAGUAUUUUCAAAAGUUUCACACGAUAUUAAUUUGAGUCCAUUCAAUAGAAAAACUACGAAAAACAAAACUAUGGUAAAUUAACAUAUACGGAUGAACUGUUUAGCCCGCCUUUCGAGGUUGUACUACCCAACUCUCUCCUUAGCUUCCAAGAUAUUCUGCUCUCUCCUCGCCUCCACGGAUCUUCACGAUACCCCGUACCCGGAGACUAUUAGGAAGCACCGAGAGUUGUCCUUAUCUCUGUUUAAUGUUCCAUGGUAGCUCUAAGCCACGUUGGUUUACUCUGAGCCGUGGACCAACUCGAAUCCCCAGCCCUAGUUCAAGAUGGUUCACUUCCCGUUUUAGUCUAGUAAGAGUCGCACAACAAGGAAUCUAAUGGUGUCGGUACAAGUCGUAGUUUUCCGCCUCAGUCUCGUUGGCUUCCUACGUAUGGGAAAGUUGAGUGGUGUGAUAUUUUGCUCACAGUCCCCAAGUCAAGUUCUUUUGAGGAAUUUGUUGUUGCCACUCUUUGAGUCAUUGCUUGUACAUGGUAAUACAUUAAUAAUGAGCAUUCAUGGAAGUAAUUCACAACUCAUACCUACAAGAUCAAAGUCAUAUAUCUCCCAAG
rnacentral:lncRNA from 1 species